GAAAUGCGAUAAGUAAUGUGAAUUGCAGAAUUCAGUGAAUCAUCGAAUCUUUGAACGCACAUUGCGCCCGCCAGUAUUCUGGCGGGCAUGCCUGUCCGAGCGUCAUUUCAACCAUCAAGCCCCCGGGCUUGUGUUGGGGACCUGCGGCUCCCCGCAGGCCCUGAAAACCAGUGGCGGGCUCGCUGUCACACCGAGCGUAGUAGCAAUCACCUCGCUCAGGGCGUGCUGCGGGUUCCGGCCGUUAAACAGCCUUACAAAACCCAAGGUUGACCUCGGAUCAGGUAGGAAGACCCGCUGAACUUAAGC
rnacentral:misc_RNA from 1 species